GUGGCGGUUUAUUAGAAAACAGAAACUCAAAAGUGAUAUUCUAUUUCCUUACCAUUUUGGGUUCCACUGGAUUCUUAUGGUAAUUCAAUUUCACACCUCCUCAGUUCUCGUCCACGACUCUCUGAAUAUGGAUCCGGCGCUUUGGGCCGACAUGAGAAAAAUGAUGCAAAAGGUUUGGAGACGGUUCGUAGAUACCAAGGUCGGUGAAUUCAAAAAAGAGCUACAUUUUAAAAUGGCAGUGCGGACGACUGGGGAUAUUCAGCCACCGGGGACCAAUCUAUGUGGAUACUAUGUUUGUGAGAGGAUCCGGAGAUACUGCAAUGAGCGGGACCAGAAGUGUGAGAACAACAUCCUGAGGAAUAACCUCCGGAAGACGCUUAGUCCAGAAGCUCGCUUCCGACCACUUCAAGAGGAACUAGCUGGAUGGUUGGCGAGGGAAGUCAUCGAUCCUAGAGGAGAACACCAUUACGAUGACGUAGAUCUUUAUAUGCACUAAAUUAUGGAUGGAAACUUGUUCAAAAUUGUAUAUGGUCAUCCGAUAUUGAAUAUAUAUUGUAUA